AAUCAAACUCUUCCAUUUCUCACUCCUCACAUCCACAAAACCAACCACCCAUUAACACUCUCUUCUCUCAGUCAACUUCUCUGUUUACCAUUGAAACUUGAACACCACGUCCAACAACAACAAUGGCUUCUGCCACCACACCCACCACCUUCUCUCUCCUCCAAACCACCACCGCCUCCACCUCCCGCACCCGCUCUUCUCUCACCCAUGUCUCCUUACCCUCUUCUCUCAAACCCGCCACUCUCCGCCGCCUCGGCUUCUCCGCAGCCGAUCCCCUCUUCGCUCUUCAGGUAGCUUCCAAAGUUCGAUCCUUUGGCUCCGGCAAAGCGGUUAGAGGCGUUGUGUCAAUGGCGAAGAGGAGCGUUGGAGACCUAUCAGCAGCUGACUUGA
rnacentral:lncRNA from 1 species